AGGCACCUCCAGCGCAGUGAAGUGAAUACCCAAGCUUUUUGGAUUUCUUCUGGGACACCUGGAAGGCUGGCACAUAAGACAACAAGAACAUGCAGUAAAGAGUGCCAAAAGAGGAGGGGGCACACCCUACAAAUACCGGGAGAAGCACAACCAGUAUCCAUGAAAGGUUUAAAUAGCUCAGCCACAAAUUUCGAAUAUGUGCAUCCUCUUUGUUCUCUUUAUUCUCUUCCCACAAAGAUAUUCCUUCGAUUUUGUGAAACAGUCCUAGUUUUCUUUAUGCCAUUCUACUGUUGUUCCUAUGAGAGGUAGUUUGGGCACACUUCAACAAAUUUGUAAAAUUUUAAUGUUUCAAAACCUUGUUCAUAUCAUUAAUCUGAUGUUCAAACUUA